GACAGAGGGUGCAAACGUUGUUCGGAAUUACUGGGCGUAAAGCGCGUGUAGGCGGCUAUGCAAGUCGGGCGUGAAAGCCCUCGGCUCAACCGAGGAAGUGCACUCGAAACUGCAUAGCUAGAGUCCUGGAGAGGAAGGUGGAAUGCUUGGUGUAGAGGUGAAAUUCGUAGAUAUCAAGCGGAACACCGGUGGCGAAGGCGGCCUUCUGGACAGUGACUGACGCUGAGACGCGAAAGCGUGGGGAGCAAACAGG
rnacentral:rRNA from 1 species